AGCUCUCCUCCUUGUCACCAUUCAUCUUAUUGCGUACAGCGUUUUCCUCUCCUUUUAUUCUCAUCGAUCCGUAUCUCGUUCUAUUUGGUUUCUCAUCUAUGUCCUCUUCCUCAGAAUAUGUUAGAUAGCUACACGAUCUAUUUAUUGAUACCAGACAUAGCGUCGGUGUUUUCUGAAGGUUUAUAAUCACCUUCAGUUUUAUGGACGAUUAUGCUUCUCGGGAUCUCUCAAUUCAGAUUGUUGAUCUUAAAUUGGAAGUUACGUUUGUUGAGGAUGAGAAGCUGUUGAAGAGCGAUGUAAAAAAGAAGAUGAUAUAAUUUCAGAUGUAAUAUAUACUAUAAUAUUGGAUGUGUAAGAUGUCAGGGCGAAAAGGCUUCUAAAUGAAGAAGCGGAUUGAGUUCUGAUAAAUCUUUGUCAUCCGACCUUUGCCAUGACAGGUGCGCUUGCAUGGCAGGUCACCGAAGUUCUCAAUAAAAAUUAUAAGUUUUUGGUUUUUGAGGAGAGAUCGCACGGGAAUUGCCCGGGUUCUCUCCUCCCUGUAUUGUGUCCUUCUUCCCUUCUCCUUCAGCAAUUGCUUUUCUCUGACUCACAAGAUGCGAGACUCAAAGGUAAAAUUUUACAAUUUACAUUCGUUGUUCUGUUUCAGAGUCUGCUAUCACAUUUAAGCCAUUCAUUCGCAUCUGCUGGGUAUCGCUAUUAAGCCUUAAAAUUAUGUGAAUAAUAUUUCUGACAGAGCAUAUGUUAAUAUUUGCCAUUGACAGUUAAUCUUGAGAAUUGCAAGGAAUUCAUCAGAAUCAUCUCACACUUAAUGAUUUUCAAAGGUACAAUGGAAUUUAGUUUUACUUGUUAAGGGCACCUAAAGGCUAUUUUGAUUGAAAAAAAGACCAUAUAGAGUUAUCUCCAUUGAUGGAGUUUAAAGCGUAAUUAUAUCUAUUUUGUAAUCUAUUACAGAUGUAGAAAUUUCACGAAUACAUAUUCAUACAAGAAAAUAUCAUAAUUAAUUUGUCUUACUACACACAAGUGAUAUUAUAACUACCUUCAUUUUCCAAGCUUCCUAGUUUACAGUUUUCACUUCUUUGCUUAGUCUGUUGUUUCCUUUGUAUUCUAAGUUAUCGUUGCAUGUAGUUUUGUGUGGAGAGUUUGCAACUUUUUUGGCCCUUUAGGGCCUGGUCCUGUGAUAUUAGGUAGGAGAGUGAUGGAGAAGGGUUUGGUGAUAUUGAUUCCACAUAGUUUUUGAACUUGGAGUUGUUGAAGUCCCUAUGUGAGAGCAUUUCAACAUUAUAAAAAAGUUUGAUUGGCUUAGGAGCAAUGAAGUUUCCAGAUGCUUACACUGCAGUACCAAGGUGUAGAAUUGAUUUUGAUGAUGAUAUGGCUACGGCUUUGAAUGUUAUUAUUCUUUUGCAACCACUCUUACGAUUAAAGCUUUGAGAGGUUGAUUAGUGAAGUUAUUGCGGUGAUGCCAGUUCAAUCUCAUUCUAAAACUAUGACUUCGAGGUGAAAGAAAUAAAGUUGACAAUGACAAUGACGAGACAAUUGGUUAAUAAUGAAAUGACAUGUGACAGACAAACUCAUUUUAAGAGUCCAUUGUUAUUAUUAUUAUUAUUAUUACACAUUUUAUAUAUUAAUUGUUGAAUCUUGUUAUAGAUGCUUGGGAUUUUAUUGUUGAACUUCGUUAUUGUUAGUAAUACAUUGAGAUUAUUUAGAAAAUUCUUUUGAGCA